CCUACGGGAGGCAGCAGUGAGGAAUAUUGGUCAAUGGGCGAUAGCCUGAACCAGCCAAGUAGCGUGAGGGAUGAAGGCCCUAUGGGUCGUAAACCUCUUUUGUCGAGGAGCAAAGUGCAGUAUGUGUGCUGUUUUGUGUGUACCCUAUGAAUAAGCAUCGGCUAACUCCGUGCCAGCAGCCGCGGUAAUACGGAGGAUCCGAGCGUUAUCCGGAUUUAUUGGGUUUAAAGGGGGCGUAGGUGGGAGGGUAAGUCAGUGGUGAAAGUUGGCGGCUCAACCGCAAAAUUGCAGUUGAUACUGCCAGUCUUGAGUGCAGUAGAGGUGGGCGGAAUUCGUGGUGUAGCGGUGAAAUGCAUAGAUAUCACGCAGAACUCCGAUUGCGAAGGCAGCAUACUGGAGUGCAACUGACACUGAUGCUCGAAAGCGUGGGUAUCAAACAGGAUUAGAUACCCGAGUAGUC
rnacentral:rRNA from 1 species